rnacentral:rRNA from 1 species
GCAAACCUUUGACCAAAAGGAUAAAACAGCGAUUUUGGCCCAACGGGGGGCGACCUUGCGUUCCAGCCCACCGGAGCGCCGCAGGCUCCUUCCCGAUGAUAGACGCACUUGCGCCGGCGGAGCACCCUACUGGUGACGGCGAGGGCUGCAGCGUGCGGACCGACAAGUCUCAGCCAGCCUUUCUCGGGCGACCUAACUUCGCUUACCUGAGCAAACGGGAGCCCAGAUUCGUCUCUACAACUCUAUACCCGAUCUAAUUUCCCUAUGUAGAAUCGGCAUCGCAAUUCCACUUUUAAGUUCGCUUCAUAGGGAUGCUGCAUACUGUUAUCUGCUCUUCAUAUGAAUCGCCGAUUCGGUAGAAUAAUGGGAGAAAAUGUGGUCCUUUAUGCUUGGACUGCCGGGGAAACAGCUUUGCGGUUAUCCCGAGUUCCUUGUCAGCUCUGUAGUAUUAGUAAUUUCAUUUUGCUGGUGUACUUGAAUUGCCAACUGAGAUUGCAAUGUUAGCAAUUACUGUUCUUCCAAGAGCAUAUAGGUUUCGUUUGAAUUAUUUUCUUAAUUUUAUCAGAGUCCUUUGCCAUUUGCCA